UCGGAAUUACUGGGCGUAAAGGGUGCGCAGGCGGCAGAGCAAGUCGAGUGUGAAAGCCCCGGGCUUAACUUGGGAAUUGCGCUCGAAACUACUUUGCUGGAGUGUGGCAGAGGAAGGUGGAAUUCCACGUGUAGCGGUGAAAUGCGCAGAUAUCAGGAGGAACACCGGUGGCGAAGGCGGGUCUCUGGGCCGUAACUGACGCUGAGGAGCGAAAGCAUGGGGAGCGAACAGG
rnacentral:rRNA from 1 species